AUACGGAGGGUGCAAGCGUUAUUCGGAAUCACUGGGCGUAAAGGACGCGUAGGCGGGUUGGCAAGUCAGAUGUGAAAUCCUACAGCUUAACUGUAGAACUGCAUUUGAAACUGCUAACCUAGAGUAUGGGAGGGGGGGAUGGAAUUAGUGGUGUAGGGGUAAAAUCCGUAGAUAUCACUAGGAAUACCGAAAGCGAAGGCGAUCUCCUGGAACAUAACUGACGCUAAGGCGUGAAAGCGUGGGGAGCAAACAGGAUUAGAAACCCUAGUAGUCC
rnacentral:rRNA from 1 species